rnacentral:rRNA from 1 species
ACCUCUGCAAUAGGCGAAAGCCUGACAGGGUUACUCUGAGUGAUUCCCGCUAAGGGAAUCUUUUGGCAUCUCUAAAAAUGGUGCAGAAUAAGGGGUGGGCAAGUCUGGUGUCAGCCGCCGCGGUAAUACCAGCACCCCGAGUGGUCGGGACGAUUAUUGGGCCUAAAGCAUCCGUAGCCGGUCUUGCAAGUCUUCCGUUAAAUCCAGCUGCUUAACAGAUGGGCUGCGGAGGAUACUACAAGGCUAGGAGGCGGGAGAGGCAAGCGGUACUCAGUGGGUAGGGGUAAAAUCCUCUGAUCCAUUGAAGACCACCAGUGGCGAAGGCGGCUUGCCAGAACGCGCUCGACGGUGAGGGAUGAAAGCUGGGGGAGCAAACCGGAUUAGAUACCCGGGUAGUCCCAGCUGUAAACGAUGCAGACUCGGUGAUGGGCCGGCUUUAUGCCGGCUCAGUGCCGCAGGGAAGCCGUUAAGUCUGCCGCCUGGGGAGUACGGUCGCAAGACUGAAACUUAA